UAAAAAUCUCAUGGUGGCCAGGAAGC
rnacentral:piRNA from 1 species